AACGAACGCUGGCGGCAUGCCUAACACAUGCAAGUCGAACGAUGCCUUCGGGCAUAGUGGCGCACGGGUUCGUAACGCGUGGGAAUCUGCCUUUCGGUUCGGAAUAACUCAGGGAAACUUGAGCUAAUACCGGAUAACGUCGCAAGACCAAAGAUUUAUCACCGAAAGAUGAUCCCGCGUAGGAUUAGCUAGUUGGUGAGGUAAAGGCUCACCAAGGCGACGAUCCUUAGCUGGUAUGAGAGGAUGAUCAGCCACACUGGGACUGAGAAACGGCCCAGACUACUACGGGAGGCAGCAGUGGGGAAUAUUGGAAAAUGGGCGAAAGCAUGAACAAGCAAUGACGCGUGAGUGAUGAAGGCAUUAGGGUUGUAAAGCUCUUUUAAACGGGAAGAUAAUGACGGUACCGGGAGAAUAAGCCCCGGCUAACUACGUG
rnacentral:rRNA from 1 species